AUAGUAAGAGAAAUACGCCCCGUCUCAGUGUUUACUUCAACUAAUCUCACUGUCACCUCUUGGCCGAGAGAUACAACACUUCCAACAUCCUUAACAAAGCUAUCACUNNNNNNGGAAACAUGUACUAGACCAUCUGUGAAAGCUCCAAAAUCAACAAAAGCACCAAAUGGUUGGAUUGAUCUCACUUUCCCAGUAAAUGUUGCACCAGGAAUAAGGUCCUCA
rnacentral:misc_RNA from 1 species